CACCCUCGUGACGGUGUCGCUGCUUGUUCGUCAGUGUGAUGCUCAGGUCGUGACCCGAGGCUGUUAUCUCAGAGCCGCAACCAGUCCCAUCUCCGGGAUCGCAGGCGAAGU
rnacentral:SRP_RNA from 13 species